rnacentral:rRNA from 1 species
UACGUAGGUGGCAAGCGUUGUCCGGAAUUACUGGGUGUAAAGGGCGUGUAGGCGGGAAGGCAAGUCAGAUGUGAAAUCCCAGGGCUUAACUCUGGAGCUGCAUCUGAAACUGUUUUUCUUGAGUACUGGAGAGGAAAGUGGAAUUCCUAGUGUAGCGGUGAAAUGCGUAGAGAUUAGGAGGAACACCAGUGGCGAAGGCGGCUUUCUGGACAGUAACUGACGCUGAGGCGCGAAAGCGUGGGGAGCAAACAGGAUUAGAUACCCGGGUAGUCCCU